rnacentral:rRNA from 1 species
AACGAACGCUGGCGGCAGGCUUAACACAUGCAAGUCGAGCGAGACCUUCGGGUCUAGCGGCGGACGGGUGAGUAACGCGUGGGAACGUGCCCUUCUCUACGGAAUAGCCCCGGGAAACUGGGAGUAAUACCGUAUACGCCCUUUGGGGGAAAGAUUUAUCGGAGAAGGAUCGGCCCGCGUUGGAUUAGGUAGUUGGUGGGGUAAUGGCCCACCAAGCCGACGAUCCAUAGCUGGUUUGAGAGGAUGAUCAGCCACACUGGGACUGAGACACGGCCCAG